UGAGUUAAUGGUUCUCACGCCUUGGAUUA
rnacentral:piRNA from 1 species